GUCAGUGUGGUGUAGUGGUUUGAGCAUUGGAUUACAACUCUGGAGACCAGGGUUCAAUUCCCUGUGUGGCCC
rnacentral:tRNA from 1 species